rnacentral:piRNA from 1 species
GAGCUUAAGAUUGGGGUAUUUUUUAG